rnacentral:RNase_P_RNA from 1 species
AUCCGGUGGAACGCGGUAAACCCCUCGAGCGAGCAACCCAAACAAUGGUAGGGGCGCUUUUUGUCUGGAAGAAGAACAGGACAAAAAGGCAGUAUAACUGCAGAUAGAUGGUUACCGCUUUGUUUUUUCUCCCUGGAAAAGCAAAGUACAGAACAUGGCUUAUAGAA